rnacentral:rRNA from 1 species
AAUGAACGCUGGUGGCAGACCUAACACAUGCAAGUCGAACGAUUUAUAGAAACUUCGGUUUUUGUAAAGAGUGGCAAACGGGUGAGUAAUGCAUGGGAAUCUACCUAGAAGUUUGGGAUAACUAUUAGAAAUAGUAGCUAAUACCGGAUACACCCUGAGGGGGAAAGUUGACUUUAUGUCUUCGCUUUUAGAUGAGCCCAUGUUAAAUUAGUUAGUUGGUGGGGUAAUGGCCUACCAAGACGAUGAUUUAUAGCUGGUCUUAGAGGAUGAUCAGCCACACUGGAAUUGAGAUACGGUUCAGACUCCUACGGGGAGGCAGCAGUGGGGAAUAUUGGACAAUGGGCGAAGCCUGAUCCAGAUCCCGUGAGUGAUGAAGGUUAGGUUGUAAAACUC